rnacentral:rRNA from 1 species
GAUGAACGCUGGCGGCGUGCCUAAUACAUGCAAGUCGAGCGAACAGUCGAGGAGCUUGCUCCUCUGACGUUAGCGGCGGACGGGUGAGUAACACGUGGAUAACCUACCUAUAAGACUGGGAUAACUUCGGGAAACCGGAGCUAAUACCGGAUAAUAUAUUGAACCGCAUGGUUCAAUAGUGAAAGACGGUUUUGCUGUCACUUAUAGAUGGAUCCGCGCCGCAUUAGCUAGUUGGUAAGGUAACGGCUUACCAAGGCAACGAUGCGUAGCCGACCUGAGAGGGUGAUCGGCCACACUGGAACUGAGACACGGUCCAGACUCCUACGGGAGGCAGCAGUAGGGAAUCUUCCGCAAUGGGCGAAAGCUUGACGGAGCAACGCCGCGUGAGUGAUGAAGGUCUUCGGAUCGUAAAACUCUGUUAUUAGGGAAGAACAAAUGUGUAAGUAACUAUGCACGUCUUGACGGUACCUAAUCAGAAAGCCACGGCUAACUACGUG